UACGGAGGAUGCGAGCGUUAUCCGGAUUUAUUGGGUUUAAAGGGUGCGUAGGCGGGACCUUAAGUCAGCGGUAAAAUUGCGGUGCUCAACGCCGUAGAGCCGUUGAAACUGGGGUUCUUGAGUGAGCGAGAAGUAUGCGGAAUGCGCGGUGUAGCGGUGAAAUGCAUAGAUAUCGCGCAGAACUCCGAUUGCGAAGGCAGCAUGCCGGCUCCACACUGACGCUGAUGCACGAGAGCGUGGGUAGCGAACAGG
rnacentral:rRNA from 1 species